UACGGGGGGGGCAAGCGUUGUUCGGAAUUACUGGGCGUAAAGGGCUCGUAGGUGGCCAACUAAGUCAGACGUGAAAUCCCUCGGCUUAACCGGGGAACUGCAUCUGAUACUGGAUGGCUUGAGAUUGGGAGAGGGAUGCGGAAUUCCAGGUGUAGCGGUGAAAUGCGCAGAUAUCGGGAGGAACACCAGUAGCGAAGGCGGCUCGCUGGGCCGUUCCUGACGCUGAGACGCGAAAGCUAGGGAGGCGAACGAGG
rnacentral:rRNA from 1 species